UGGCAAUAUAGUGUAUCUUUUAUAUGGCAACAUGAAUAUUGUGUACAUUUAAAUUGAUUUAAGGUACACCUCAGGAUGUACUUCAGAGUAGUAUGUUUAAGGUACACUUUAUGCAUAUAUCCAGGAGAAAGACACUCUAGAUACAAAAGAUGUGCCCUAUGAAUUGACAAGGACAGGUACUUUUGCUUCCAAGAGUGUAUAUCUAAUGUGAACUCUUGGCCUUAGUCGAAAGGAUCCUGUAUAAUUCUUUGGAUAGACAGAACUCUUAGCUUCCUACAAGUGUUUGUACUUGGAACAUUUUUUAGUUAGGGAAAUAGAGAAACCCACUGAUGUAGAUCUCUACAAAGGACCUUUAAGGGUUCAUCCAGAGGGACUAACCUUAGGGUUACAUAAUGCAUAGUGUUUAAUAAAGAGUAUUGUUGAAAACAAAACAAAAAACUCAUAAUACUAAAAAAUCUGCUAUGUCAAGAAUGCCAGAUUGUCAGCUAUCAGCAGUGGUAAGAAAUAUUUAUCCCAGGAGUUCACAGACCGUAAAAACAGAUGUGUUAACGUUGAACAUGGUGCAGAAACAUAGUGCCUUCUUAUACACAUUCAUACAUCCUGCUUUUCCAGGCAGCAUAAAAAUUACAAAGCAGGUCUGUUUUGGAUUUACAUCGCCUUACUCUGAGAUGGAUAUUUCUAGUGUAAAUUCAACACAAGCUGGGUUGUCCAUUUAAAAAAAAAAAUUUAAAUAAAACUUGCCUUCAAUAGAUUUGGAUAGGUAUACAUAGUGGAAAACAACGCACCAUUUAAAAGUCUCUCUCUCUCUCUCUCUCUCUCUCUCUCUCUCUCUCUCACUCUCUCUCUCUCUCACACACACACACCACUCCCUAAAAUCAAAUUGUGCAGAUGCACAUACUCUUUUGCCAGUGAACAUUCCACUGAGAAGGUGAAGUAUUAUACAAACAUAAAAAAAUAAAUAAAUAAAACUCUACAUUCACAUGUCACCACUGCUCUACAAAUUGCAGAUCAAAACCAGUCAUAUAAGUUUAACUAGCCAUCUGCCUCUGUGUGAAUGUUUUUAGCCUACAUUACGCUCGUUUGUUAUAACCUGUCUAUGACACUAUACUGAAACAUAUCCUUGAAAUGUAAAUGAAUCAGCUUGGCACGUUGAGAUGCCAUAUUUAUACUAAUUAUAAAUAAACAAACAAACAAAAAAGCACUAGGGACACGGUGCCUGAGCUCCAGCCGGGAUGGUGUCUUAAAUCUCCAAUGUACAAUGCAUCUAUGAUAAUUCUUAAUUACCAGUGCACAUGUCUGCCUGUCUCAUUUCAGAUUUUUUUUUUUAACCAGUGCAUUGGCAACUUUUCUUGUUACAAAUCUGCUUGGAGAUCUGGCUUUAAUCCAGUAUCACAUAUGCGUUCCACAUGGCUAUAUCUAAAUGACUUGAGCAGUCGGAAUGAUUACUAUUUUUAUUUUAUUUUUUUGUCUAAUGGGCAAAACUGUGUUGUUGUUAUGCCUGGUCUUACCUUGAUAUGUGGAAACGUGUCGAUUCUGCUUCGUUAAGCUUCAUUCGCACCGAUGCGCUUUAAAACUCUGUCUUUCUGCACCAUCAUCCAUUUCAUCCUCCUCAAACUGACAACGCGAAAACGGAAGAAAAAAAAACUACGUCCUUCUCUCUCUCUCUCUCUCUCUCUCUCUCUCUCUCUCUCUUAUACCGCACAAUGCACUUAGCUGCGUAGUCUCAGGACUGAAAAUCGACCUCACUGUCAGGAUUUAAACUGCAAAAUAUCCUGGUGCAUUCACGAGGUCGCCCAGAUAUUCCGCGUUUAAUUCCAAAUGCAUGGACGCAUGAGCCAUAGCUCUCAUAAGAAAUCCGCGUUGGGGAUGGAAGUCCUGCCUGAGAAGUACGGUUCAAGGCUGAGAGACGGGUUUGAUGCGCAUGGCGCGCGGCACGGAGAAGCGUGUCACGCGCACGGGAAGCAGAACUUAAAGCAAUCUCUAGAUGGCACAGGAGAGGUAGACCAGGCAUGUGAGGUGUGUGUGCAACUCUGGAUGUUCCAAAGAAUUGACCUUUCCCUUUGAGGAGAAAUGUACCCCUAGAGAAGACCCAUCUGGAAAAAA
ensembl:lncRNA